AACCAGACUCCUACGGGAGGCAGCAGUGGGGAAUAUUGCACAAUGGGGGAAACCCUGAUGCAGCGACGCCGCGUGAGCGAUGAAGUAUUUCGGUAUGUAAAGCUCUAUCAGCAGGGAAGAAAAUGACGGUACCUGACUAAGAAGCCCCGGCUAACUACGUGCCAGCAGCCGCGGUAAUACGUAGGGGGCAAGCGUUAUCCGGAUUUACUGGGUGUAAAGGGAGCGUAGACGGUCCUGCAAGCCAGAUGUGAAAGCCCAGGGCUCAACCCCGGGACUGCAUUUGGAACUGUAAGGCUAGAGUGUCGGAGAGGCAGGCGGAAUUCCUAGUGUAGCGGUGAAAUGCGUAGAUAUUAGGAGGAACACCAGUGGCGAAGGCGGCCUGCUGGACGAUGACUGACGUUGAGGCUCGAAAGCGUGGGGAGCAAACAGGAUUAGAUACCCUAGUA
rnacentral:rRNA from 1 species